AUGGCAGUAUCCGAAAAGCCCAAACAGAGUAGGAA
ncrna:unclassified sequences DTF805b RNA